AACGAACGCUGGCGGCAUGCCUAACACGUGCAAGUCGAACGAGACCUUCGGGUCUAGUGGCGCACGGGUGCGUAACGCGUGGGAAUCUGCCCUUGGGUUCGGAAUAACAGUUGGAAACGACUGCUAAUACCGGAUGAUGACGUAAGUCCAAAGAUUUAUCGCCCAGGGAUGAGCCCGCGUAGGAUUAGCUAGUUGGUGGGGUAAAGGCCUACCAAGGCGACGAUCCUUAGCUGGUCUGAGAGGAUGAUCAGCCACACUGGGACUGAGACACGGCCCAGACUCCUACGGGAGGCAGCAGUGGGGAAUAUUGGACAAUGGGCGAAAGCCUGAUCCAGCAAUGCCGCGUGAGUGAUGAAGGCCUUAGGGUUGUAAAACUCUUUUACCCGGGAUGAUAAUGACAGUACCGGGAGAAUAAGCCCCGGCUAACUCCGUG
rnacentral:rRNA from 1 species